rnacentral:rRNA from 1 species
GAGCGGCGAACGGGUGAGUAACACGUGAGUAACCUGCCCCUGACUCUGGGAUAAGCCCGGGAAACUGGGUCUAAUACCGGAUAUGACACCUCCUCGCAUGGGGUGGGUGUGGAAAGUUUUUUCGGUUGGGGAUGGACUCGCGGCCUAUCAGCUUGUUGGUGGGGUAAUGGCCUACCAAGGCGACGACGGGUAGCCGGCCUGAGAGGGCGACCGGCCACACUGGGACUGAGACACGGCCCAGACUCCUACGGGAGGCAGCAGUGGGGAAUAUUGCGCAAUGGGCGAAAGCCUGACGCAGCGACGCCGCGUGGGGGAUGACGGCCUUCGGGUUGUAAACCUCUUUCAGCAGGGACGAAGUUGACGUGUACCUGCAGAAGAAGCGCCGGCUAACUACGUGCCAGCAGCCCGCGGUAAUACGUAGGGCGCAAGCGUUGUCCGGAAUUAUUGGGCGUAAAGAGCUCGUAGGUGGCUUGUCACGUCGGGUGUGAAAGCUUGGGGCUUAACUCCAGGUCUGCAUUCGAUACGGGCUGGCUAGAGGUAGGUAGGGGAGAACGGAAUUCCU